CCUGGUGGCUUUGCGAGGGGAAAAAACCCGAUCCCAUCCCGAACUCGGCCGUUAAGCCCCUCCGCGCCGAUGGUACUCCGUCUCAAGGCGUGGGAGAGUAGGUCGUCGCCAGGC
rnacentral:rRNA from 1 species